rnacentral:rRNA from 1 species
ACCUGCCUGGUAGCGGGGGAUAACUAUUGGAAACGAUAGCUAAUACCGCAUAAUAGUAGUUGUUGCAUGACAACUGUUUGAAAGGUGCAAUUGCAUCACUACCAGAUGGACCUGCGUUGUAUUAGCUAGUUGGUGGGGUAACGGCUCACCAAGGCGACGAUACAUAGCCGACCUGAGAGGGUGAUCGGCCACACUGGGACUGAGACACGGCCCAGACUCCUACGGGAGGCAGCAGUAGGGAAUCUUCGGCAAUGGACNGAAGUCUGACCGAGCAACGCCGCGUGAGUGAAGAAGGUUUUCA